AUACGAAGGGGGCUAGCGUUGUUCGGAAUUACUGGGCGUAAAGGGCGUGUAGGCGGAAUAGUAAGUUAGAAGUGAAAGCCCUAGGCUCAACCUAGGAAUUGCUUUUAAUACUGCUAAACUAGAAUCCUGGAGAGGGUGGCGGAAUUCCAAGUGUAGAGGUGAAAUUCGUAGAUAUUUGGAAGAACACCAGUGGCGAAGGCGGCCACCUGGACAGGUAUUGACGCUGAGGCGCGAAAGCGUGGGGAGCGAACAGGAUUAGAAACCCUAGUAGUCC
rnacentral:rRNA from 1 species